rnacentral:rRNA from 1 species
CUACGGGCGGCUCCAGUGGGGAAUAUUGCACAAUGGAGGAAACUCUGAUGCAGCAACGCCGCGUGGAGGAUGACACAUUUCGGUGCGUAAACUCCUUUUAUAUGAGAAGAUAAUGACGGUAUCAUAUGAAUAAGCACCGGCUAACUCCGUGCCAGCAGCCGCGGUAAUACGGGGGGUGCAAGCGUUACUCGGAAUCACUGGGCGUAAAGAGCAUGUAGGCGGAUAGAAAAGUUGGAAGUGAAAUCCUGUGGCUUAACCAUAGAACUGCUUCCAAAACUCUCUAUCUAGAAUAUGGGAGAGGUAGAUGGAAUUUCUGGUGUAGGGGUAAAAUCCGUAGAGAUCAGAAGGAAUACCGAUUGCGAAGGCGAUCUACUGGAACAUUAUUGACGCUGAGAUGCGAAAGCGUGGGGAGCAAACAGGAUUAGAUACCCCAGUAGUC